AUUGAACGCUGGCGGCAUGCCUUACACAUGCAAGUCGAACGGCAGCGCGGGAGCAAUCCUGGCGGCGAGUGGCGAACGGGUGAGUAACAUAUCGGAACGUGCCCUAGAGUGGGGGAUAACUAGUCGAAAGACUAGCUAAUACCGCAUACGAUCUAAGGAUGAAAGUGGGGGAUCGCAAGACCUCAUGCUCAUGGAGCGGCCGAUAUCUGAUUAGCUAGUUGGCGGGGUAAAAGCCCACCAAGGCGACGAUCAGUAGCUGGUCUGAGAGGACGACCAGCCACACUGGGACUGAGACACGGCCAGACUCCUACGGGAGGCAGCAGUGGGGAAUUUUGGACAAUGGGGGCAACCCUGAUCCAGCAAUGCCGCGUGAGUGAAGAAGGCCUUCGGGUUGUAAAGCUCUUUUGUCAGGAACGAAACGGAUGGGGCUAAUACCUCUGUCUAAUGACGGUACCUGAAGAAUAAGCACCGGCUAACUACGUGCCAGCAGCCGCCGUAA
rnacentral:rRNA from 1 species